UGUUUAAAAAAGGCUAUUCUAUGUUACAAAUUUCUAGCAAAACUUAAAUUUAUUUAGUUUUUUUAGCCUCUUUAUUCUCGGACUUCUUCUCCUUCUUUUCCUUUUUGGGGGCUUCUUUGCAAGGAGGAUUGCACUUGCUCUCCUUGGUCUCCUUCUUCGGCACACCCGGGUUGCACUCCUCGUGAACGGGUCGAGGCUCCUGAUACCCUGUAUCCGGUGAGCACGGCGGGCAAUCGCAAUCGGACUUCAAAUCCGUGCAGCAGCUGGGUGGAGUUGGUCCAAUGUAAAAGGGAUUGAAGCGGCACACCAUUCUGAAGGAAAGUAGGGAAAUAUCCGAGAUCGGAAACUUACAAUUUAAUCAAAUUAAUUUCUGUAAAUUUUUCUAAAAUUUUACCAAAAAGUGACAUUUUCUGAGACAAAAAUAGCUUAGACAGACGAUUUCAAAUUUUCAUACAAAUUUUCAUUCAAAUAAAAAUUCUCAGAGAACGCAUUGCAAAAAUGUAAAUUGACACCUAAAUGGAGAAUAAUUAUUUUAGUGUUUGCCAACCAGCACAGAUGAGAAAUUAAACAAUUCCUGAGGCUCAUGUUUGUCCAUGGGCAAUUGUAAUUAUUUACGAGUCGAAACACCAAAUUAGCAUUAAAUCGAGAGCGGUCGAGACCGAACAAACAAGCAAACAAACCGAGUUUGCCAGUAAAUAUUUGCUGGCGUGUGCCAGCUUAUAAAGCUGCAGGCGUAGAGUGCUUAAAGCUGAUUAUGUGAGUUUGCACAACAAAUGCGGAAAACAUACAAAGAAAUCGAAAAGAAGCCGAGGAAAACCGCAGAAAAAUAAACGUUUAAUGGCGGCAGACUCAUAAAAAAUCCCCAGCUAAAAUGACGGGCUCGGAAAACUGUACCAAAAUAAGGAGAGGCAAUAAAGCAAAACACAUAAGCCGCAACGCCACGAAAAGGACAUGCCGAUGGACGGGGAAGGAGAUAAAGGACGCGCUCACAUGCCUUGAAAGUUUUCAAUUUUUACGACUUCAUUAGAAACGCUUGAUGAGCAAUAAUGAUAAGAGGGCGAAAGCGGAAACGGAAGUCACAGAAGGGUGCAAAGGAUGCGGAAACGCGGGGCCUGGCCACAG
ensembl:ncRNA asRNA:TS15 antisense RNA:testis-specific 15